UACGGAGGGUGCAAGCGUUAAUCGGAAUUACUGGGCGUAAAGCGCACGCAGGCGGUUUGUUAAGUCAGAUGUGAAAUCCCCGGGCUUAACCUGGGAGCUGCAUUUGAUACGUGUAGACUAGAGUGUGAGAGAGGGUUGUGGAAUUCCCAGUGUAGAGGUGAAAUUCGUAGAUAUUGGGAAGAACACCGGUGGCGAAGGCGGCCCCCUGGACGAAGACUGACGCUCAGGUGCGAAAGCGUGGGGAGCAAACAGG
rnacentral:rRNA from 1 species